rnacentral:lncRNA from 1 species
ACCACAUUGGGUGCAUUAGAAGGUAGGAUCAGACCAGGGUCCUUUCCAGAUUUAAGGUCCAAGUCAUGGCGGUAAUUGACAAUCUUAUUAUGAUAUGAGGUGCUUUUGUCGAAUGAUAGCCUCCAGUGGUAAGAUUUUUGUUUCUUAAUACCUCGCACAAGACCCUCAUUUUCAGAGGCAGAAAUGUGCCAUUCUUUCUUUCAAAUCAUUUUUCCCUGUAAUUGCACUUGCAGGUUUCACAACAUUGAGUGGUUGCUACAGCGGCUAUCAGAACCUUUGGCAUCACAAAAUGGAGGGCUGUCUGGUGCUGACAUUAUUGAGGAGUUGAGAACUCAUCUUACAAAUUGUAUCAAAACCAAAAUUUGUUCCCUCAAACUGGUAUGAAGACUUAUUAAAUCUUUCUUCUGUUUCUGUCCAUUGUAAUGAGUCCAUCUUGAGUACAAAAGAAAGGUCUUUGUAAUUUCUUUGUUCUCAUUUGGAGCUCGACAUGAUUGUAAUGGUUUAGUAGCAUGGUCUAAUUAUUAUUAUUGAACUGGUGUACACUUUAUUUUGCUUGUUUGGAGAUAAAACCUGCAGGAUUGGCGCUGCCGUAAGACCGGAUUGCAGAUUGCUUCAGGUCGGAGAGGAAGAUACCUUGGCAUCAAGAAGCUUCCCAUACCAGGUCCAUGAC